rnacentral:lncRNA from 1 species
CACAAAAAUACCCCUAAUCUGAGCCCUAACUAGAUUUAACCCUAACCCUAAUGCUAACCCUAGCCCUAAACCUAACUGUAAUAUAGCCCUAAUCUUAGCUUUAACCCUAUCCCUUGAGCUAAGCCAAAACCUACACAUAAUCCUAAACCUAGUCCUAAUCCUAAUACUUAGCCAAAACAAAACACUAACAGUAUUACUAGUCCUAACCCUGGCCCUCAUUCUAGCUCUAACCCUAACCCAAAGCCUAACUGUAAACUUGACCCUUAUUCUAACCUAACACUAAUUAUAAGUUUAAACCUGACCCUAACCCUAAACCAAAACCUGAAACUAGCUCUACAAGUAACCUUAUACCUAAACCUAACCUUGACACUAGUCCUAGACAUAAAUCUAUUCCUAAAACUAGUGAUAACUCUAGCCCUAGACCUAAACAAAAACUUAGUCCUAGCCCUAACCAUAACCAAUAACCUAAAAAAAAAAUCACUAACCCUACCCUAUACCUAACCCUAGUCCUAAUUCUGGCUUUCACCGUAACCCUAACACUUACUUGAACACUGACCCUGACACUAACACUAAACCUGGCUCUAAACCCGACCCUAAACCAAAAUCUAAAUUUAACACUAUACCUAGCCAUAGUUCUAACCCUAAAACUAGCCCUAAUUAGAACCCUAGAUCUUACAUUAACCAUAGCACUAACCCUAGAUCCAAACCUAAAACCAAACCUAGCCCUAAUCCAAGGCCUAAACCGACCCUAAGCAUAAUCCUCACCCUAAUAUGAGUCCUAACUCUAAUCCUAACCCUCACAAUAGUCCUAAUCAUAGCUCAAAGCCUAAUCCUUAGCCUAAACAUAACCAUAGGACUCUCCCAAACCAUAAACAUAACCAUAGCCCUUAUCCUAAUAUUAACCCUAGCCCUAACUCUAGCUCUAACCCUAGCCAUCACCUUAACUCUAACCCUAACCCUAAUGAUAACCCUACCCCUAACCCUAACCAAAAACUUAAUACAAACCAUAAAGAUACCCUAGACCUAACCAUAAACCUAACCCUUUCUGUAGACCUAACCCUAAAUCAAACCCUAAACCUUACCCUAAAACAACAGUAAACCUAGCCCUAAAACUAAUCUUAACC